UAGGCCGCGGCCUUCUUUUCUCCCAGAAAGGUGACCCUCCCCGCCCUGCGUCCUGCUCCUUCCGUCCAUACUGAUGUUUGUUUUGCUGGAGGCCAGUAGCAACUGGACAGUAGCUCUAGGGGAGGAGAAUCCACCUGCGGCGAAGGGUGGGAUUUGUUUUCUUUGAGCCUUCUCCAGUGUGGGGCAGCUGGCGCAUCUCCACUUAGCGCCGGGGGUCCGGGAUCCUACAUCGCAGGGACUGGGGAUCUCCUGGGUUCUGUACUCCCCCAGCCCUUUCCCCUGACCAUCAGCCAGCUCUGCCAUUUCCUAGCAGUAUAAUAAAAGG
rnacentral:lncRNA from 10 species